ACAACGUGGGUAACCUGCCCUUGAAUCUGGGAUAACUCUCCGAAAGGGGUGCUAAUACCGGAUAAUACCCAGCCUACAUAAGUAGAUUGGUUCAAAGGAGGCCUCUGUUUCAUGCUUUUGUUUGAGGAGGGGCCCACGCCCCAUUAGCUAGUUGGUGAGGUGAUGGCUCACCAAGGCCACGAUGGGUAGCCGACCUGAGAGGGUGAUCGGCCACAUUGGGACUGAGACACGGCCCAG
rnacentral:rRNA from 1 species